AAUGAACGCUGGCGGCAUGCCUAACACAUGCAAGUCGAACGAAGGCUUCGGCCUUAGUGGCGCACGGGUGCGUAACGCGUGGGAAUCUGCCCUUGGGUUCGGAAUAACAGUUAGAAAUGACUGCUAAUACCGGAUGAUGUCGUAAGACCAAAGAUUUAUCGCCCAAGGAUGAGCCCGCGUAGGAUUAGCUAGUUGGCGGGGUAAAGGCCCACCAAGGCGACGAUCCUUAGCUGGUCUGAGAGGAUGAUCAGCCACACUGGGACUGAGACACAGCCCAGACUCCUACGGGAGGCAGCAGUGGGGAAUACUGGACAAUGGGCGAAAGCCUGAUCCAGCAAUGCCGCGUGAGUGAUGAAGGCCUUAGAGUUGUAAAGCUCUUUUACCCGGGAUGAUAAUGACAGUACCGGGAGAAUAAGCUCCGGCUAACUUCGUGCCAGCAGCCGCCGUAA
rnacentral:rRNA from 1 species